CGGCGCUGGUGUCGAACGGCGGGUGAAGCGCCAGAAAAGCAACCCAUCUCCUCGGCUUUUCCAGGCCGAGUUCGCCGACCUCAGACUGUGUGCGUGUUUGAAGGGAAGCUGUGGUAAAGUGGUGCAGGACGAGAGUUCCCCUGAAGUCGAUGUGGAUGUGGGCGGGAGGAAGCGCACACCUCUGAA